AAUAAGAAGUGGAGCAGUCUGAGACGUGCAGACGGCAUGAGCCACAGGACAAGCAACAGCUGACUUCAGGCUCUGCAGGAGCAGAACAAACAUCGCCCACAGCGCUGGUGUCCCGGAUUUCAGAAUGAGCAAAAGAGGGAGGAGGAGGAGCAGCAGGAGGAGGAAGAGCUCCACCAGCAGCAAACAGAGCUUGUCUCCAUACAUCUUCAAAAAGCAGAGCAACAGCAUCUGCUGCUCGGAUGAUGUGGUUGAAAAGGGGGAAACGGACUCUCUAGGAAAGGAGAACAUUCUUCUGGGAUUUGAGGAGAAGGAAGCGGACAGCAGCGCCCCUCCUGAGGGGAAAAGGUUCAAGCAAGGCUGUGGCUGGACUUUGUUUCCAGGCUGUGAGAGAGUUCACUCGGAAACCGUGAGGCUGGAGGAGGCGGCGGUGAAGAUAGUCACAUCUGUGUCUGUCUCUGAUUUGGGGAACCCCUCCUCCAAGGUCACCUUCCUGCAGUCCCACCAGCCCUCAGGGGAAGACUCCUCCCAUGAGGUCACCAACACCUUCAGAGUCCUCAGCAGUGGGGUACACGUGACCCUGGAAAUUCAGGAAAGGUUUCAGCUGGGUCCACAAAUCCCAGAAUCCUCUCUGGUGCCGGUGAGCGAGAACAGAGCUGACGUGCCAACGGCGUGGUCUUCCGUGCCCGACAACGAGUCAUAUGACGGCAGGUGGCAGCACGGCGUCAGAGUGACCCCCCCCUCCUACACGUUCACGGUGAGAGCCCCGACAGACACGGACGCGGGGGUCUCCUGCAGUCCGGAGGAGUGUCCCUGCUGCAGACACGACCUUCAUGAGCACCGCCCUGCAGGCCUCGUGCUCCUCACCAACACCCGCCCAAAGACCAGAGACAGCCUCGGCACGGACCAGCUCUGGGACAUCCCCCCACCGCCACCGCAGUUUGCAGACGCCCCCUACGGCAGCUUGGAGGACCUGACGGGGGAACUGGCGUCCUUCAGGAUCGCCACUCACAGUCCUGUGCUGAAGCAAAGGCCGUUCCGCCCCCCCGCAGCACCCCGCCUCAGGGGGAGGAGGGCGGAGAUCGGGGCUCCUCCUCCGCUCAGCUGUCAGAGUCUGACAACUGCGAUUCCCUGUUCCCCAGAACGUCCCUGUCCACCAACAGGUCCAGCUUCACCACAGACUUCAUCUGCUGUCAGAGGCGCAGGUCCUGGGUGA
rnacentral:lncRNA from 1 species